rnacentral:rRNA from 1 species
CGUAAUAAUAGAAACUAACCAGGAUUCCCUUAGUAACGGCGAGUGAACUGGGAUACCAACACACCAAUAUGCACUCUGUGCAUAAUUUAGCCCGUCGAUACUAUCCUAGCAUAUCACCGGUCUCGGCCGGUAACCCAAUAUGCGGGAAUUGUAGCAUCGUAAUAAAAAAUAUAUAUGCUGUGCACACACACACACACCCAGUGCCAUGCGUACGUGACCUUGUAAACACACAGCGUCUCCGCGUUGGAAAGCAAGUAUAUAUCCUCUUUGGAUAUGCCAUAGAGUGUGACAGCCACGUUUGACUCACUCCACACGUUACGCGCACACACACCCAUUGCACACACCUUAUAUAUAUUUCUAUAACCUGAGUCGAGUUAUUU